rnacentral:lncRNA from 1 species
CUAAACUUACCAGAACACACACUAAGAACACCAACAGCAAUUGAGCAACACCAAACCGGAAAGUGCCAAAGACGAAAGAGAGGAAAAAAACAAAGGAAAAUCAGCAAAAAGAAAAUCGACAGGGCAUUAGGAGAAUUGAAACGUCUAAAAUUUUGGAAAAAACUGAAAAAGAAUUGAAAAAAAGAAAAAUCCCAAUUGAUAACCCCCAAAUUCCUUAAUUUUCUACUAUUAUCACUCCACAACAACAACCUCCCCAAAUCCCAAUAUUCUC